UACAGAGGCCCCCAAGCGUUGUUCGGAUUCACUGGGCGUAAAGGGUGCGUAGGUGGUGAGGUAAGUCGGAUGUGAAAUCUCCGAGCUCAACUCGGAAAUGGCAUUGGAAACUACCUUGCUCGAGGGUUGGAGGGGGGACUGGAAUGCUUGGUGUAGCAGUGAAAUGCGUAGAUAUCAAGCGGAACACCAGUGGCGAAGGCGAGUCCCCUGGACAACUCCUGACACUGAGGCACGAAAGCUGGGGGGAGCAAACAGG
rnacentral:rRNA from 1 species